rnacentral:rRNA from 1 species
UACGUAGGGCGCAAGCGUUAUCCGGAAUUAUUGGGCGUAAAGAGCUCGUAGGCGGUUUGUCGCGUCUGCCGUGAAAGUCCGGGGCUCAACUCCGGAUCUGCGGUGGGUACGGGCAGACUAGAGUGAUGUAGGGGAGACUGGAAUUCCUGGUGUAGCGGUGGAAUGCGCAGAUAUCAGGAGGAACACCGGUGGCGAAGGCGGCCUGCUGGGCAGUUGCUGACACUGAGGCGCGACAGCGUGGGGAGCAAACAGG